ensembl:lncRNA MIR210HG MIR210 host gene
GGGUCGGGCCGGGGGGCGAGAGGGUGCCAGCGGCCGCAGCUGAAGUUGGGCCGAGAGCCGGCGACGGCCCCGCGCCGGGGUCGCAGGGUACCAGUGUGCGGAGUUCCUGUUGCCAAGCUGAAGGUGGCCCUGGGCAGGCACAGGCCUGCAGGAGUUGAGGGCUGCACCUGCUCGCUGGAGAGGGAGAGGCAGAUUUAGUGGACGCCUGGCAUGGACUCGGACUGGCCUUUGGAAGCUCCCUGCCCUGACGGGGUUGCCUGUCACCACUGCGAAGUGAGGCUUGGCAGGACCUGCACCUGAGAAAGGCUGUGUGUGGUCUUGGGGUCCACACCUGCAGAGCUAACUUACUGCCAGACGGCGACUUACUGUGGGCCACCCUCAGUGAACCGGGGUGUCCUCAGCUGGCCCUACAGAGCACUUCUGUGCUGGGGAUGAGUAGGAACUCUGGGCGAGGAGGGUCCCAGCGCCGCCCCUCGAUACAGCCUGGCUCUGCCCUCUGCCCGUACUUACACCAGGUGGGAUCCCUGCCCUGCAUUGCCUGGGGAUUGGCUGGGCUUGGGCCCGCCCUGCUGUGGAACUGGAUGUUUUCAGGGAGCCCAGCCUUUCCUCAUGUCAACACAGUUCACAAUAUAGUUUUCAAAGUACAGUUUAAAACUCAAAAGUAAACUUUUCAGCAACUCAAA